rnacentral:rRNA from 1 species
GAUGAACGCUGGCGGCGUGCCUAAUACAUGCAAGUCGAGCGAACGGACGAGAAGCUUGCUUCUCUGAUGUUAGCGGCGGACGGGUGAGUAACACGUGGAUAACCUACCUAUAAGACUGGGAUAACUUCGGGAAACCGUAGCUAAUACCGGAUAAUAUUUUGAACCGCAUGGUUCAAAAGUGAAAGACGGUCUUGCUGUCACUUAUAGAUGGAUCCGCGCUGCAUUAGCUAGUUGGUAAGGUAACGGCUUACCAAGGCAACGAUGCAUAGCCGACCUGAGAGGGGGGCGAGCCACACGGGAACUGGGACACGGUCCAGAGUACUACGGGAGGCAGCAGUGGGGAAUAUUGGGCGAUGGUCGGAAGACUGAUCCAGUCAGACAGCGUGGAUGAAGAAGGCCUUAGGAUCGUAAAGCCCUUUGGUUGGGAAAGAAAAGAAGCAGGAGAACAACCGGCGGUUCUGACGGUACCGAAAGAGAAAGCACCGGAUAACUUCGGG